rnacentral:misc_RNA from 1 species
GUGAAGAACGUAGCGAAAUGCGAUACGUAAUGUGAAUUGCAGAAUUCAGUGAAUCAUCGAAUCUUUGAACGCACAUUGCGCCCGCCAGUAUUCUGGCGGGCAUGCCUGUCUGAGCGUCAUUUCAACCCUCAUGCCCCUAGGGCGUGGUGUUGGGGAUCGGCCAAAGCCCGCGAGGGACGGCCGGCCCCUAAAUCUAGUGGCGGACCCGUCGUGGCCUCCUCUGCGAAGUAGUGAUAUUCCGCAUCGGAGAGCGAUGAGCCCCUGCCGUUAAACCCCCAACUUUCCAAGGUUGACCUCAGAUCAGGUAGGAAUACCCGCUGAACUUAAGCAUAUCAAUAAGCGGAGGA